CUGAUGAUGUAUAGAAACUAACAGGUGAACCAAGAAAUUGCACUCUUCAUCCUUGCAGCCCACUCUCACUCUCUCCCUAUCAUUCUUGAUCCACUUAACCUCCCUCCCCU